AUGGGUGAUGGCGUGCCUUUUGUAGAAUGAACCGGCGAGUUACGAUUACAUGCGAGGUUAAGUUGAAUAGACGGAGCCGCAGCGAAAGCGAGUCUGAAUAGGGCGAAUGAGUAUGUGGUCGUAGACCCGAAACCAGGUGAUCUACCCAUGUCCAGGGUGAAGUCCAGGUAACACUGGAUGGAGGCCCGAACCCACGCACGUUGAAAAGUGCGGGGAUGAGGUGUGGGUAGCGGAGAAAUUCCAAUCGAACUUGGAGAUAGCUGGUUCUCUCCGAAAUAGCUUUAGGGCUAGCCUCACGAUCAAGAGUCUUGGAGGUAGAGCACUGUUUGGACUAGGGGCCCUCAUCGGGUUACCGAAUUCAGACAAACUCCGAAUGCCAAGUACUUAUGCGUGGGAGUCAGACUGCGAGUGAUAAGAUCCGUAGUCAAAAGGGAAACAGCCCAGACCACCAGCUAAGGUCCCAAAGUAUACGUUAAGUGGAAAAGGAUGUGGAGUUGCUUAGACAACCAGGAUGUUGGCUUAGAAGCAGCCACCAUUUAAAGAGUGCGUAAUAGCUCACUGGUCGAGUGACUCCGCGCCGAAAAUGUACCGGGGCUAAACGUAUCACCGAAGCUGUGGGUGGACACUUACGUGUCCGCGGUAGGAGAGCGUUCUAAGGGCGUUGAAGCUAGACCGUAAGGACUGGUGGAGCGCUUAGAAGUGAGAAUGCCGGUAUGAGUAGCGAAAGAUGGGUGAGAAUCCCAUCCACCGAAUGCCUAAGGUUUCCUGAGGAAGGCUCGUCCUCUCAGGGUUAGUCGGGACCUAAGCCGAGGCCGAAAGGCGUAGGCGAUGGACAACAGGUUGAUAUUCCUGUACCACCUCAUUACCGUUUGAGCGAUGGAGGGACGCAGGAGGAUAGGGUAAGCGCGCUGUUGGAUAUGCGCGUCCAAGCAGUUAGGCAGAGAAAUUGGCAAAUCCGUUUCUCGUGUAAGCUGAGCUGUGAUGGCGAGGGAAAUAUAGUACCGAAGUUCCUGAUUCCACACUGCCAAGAAAAGCUUCUAGCGAGGUAGUAGGUGCCCGUACCGCAAACCGACACAGGUAGGCGAGGAGAGAAUCCUAAGGUGAGCGAGAGAACUCUCGUUAAGGAACUCGGCAAAAUGACCCCGUAACUUCGGGAGAAGGGGUGCUUUUUAGGGUGCAUAGCCCUGAAGAGCCGCAGUGAAUAGGCCCAGGCGACUGUUUAGCAAAAACACAGGUCUCUGCGAAGCCGCAAGGCGAAGUAUAGGGGCUGACGCCUGCCCGGUGCUGGAAGGUUAAGAGGAGAGGUUAGCGCAAGCGAAGCUUUGAAUUGAAGCCCCAGUAAACGGCGGCCGUAACUAUAACGGUCCUAAGGUAGCGAAAUUCCUUGUCGGGUAAGUUCCGACCCGCACGAAAGGCGUAACGAUCUGGGCACUGUCUCAACGAGAGACUCGGUGAAAUUAUAGUACCUGUGAAGAUGCAGGUUACCCGCGACAGGACGGAAAGACCCCGUGGAGCUUUACUGUAGCCUGAUAUUGAAUUUUGGUACAGCUUGUACAGGAUAGGUAGGAGCCGUGGAAACCGGAGCGCUAGCUUCGGUGGAGGCGUCGGUGGGAUACUACUCUGGCUGUAUUGAAAUUCUAACCCGCACCCCUGAUCGGGGUGGGAGACAGUGUCAGGUGGGCAGUUUGACUGGGGCGGUCGCCUCCUAAAGAGUAACGGAGGCGCCCAAAGGUUCCCUCAGAAUGGUUGGAAAUCAUUCGUAGAGUGUAAAGGCACAAGGGAGCUUGACUGCGAGACCUACAAGUCGAGCAGGGACGAAAGUCGGGCUUAGUGAUCCGGUGGUUCCGCAUGGAAGGGCCAUCGCUCAACGGAUAAAAGCUACCCCGGGGAUAACAGGCUUAUCUCCCCCAAGAGUCCACAUCGACGGGGAGGUUUGGCACCUCGAUGUCGGCUCAUCGCAUCCUGGGGCUGUAGUCGGUCCCAAGGGUUGGGCUGUUCGCCCAUUAAAGCGGUACGCGAGCUGGGUUCAGAACGUCGUGAGACAGUUCGGUCCCUAUCCGUCGUGGGCGUAGGAAAUUUGAGAGGAGCUGUCCUUAGUACGAGAGGACCGGGAUGGACGCACCGCUGGUGUACCAGUUGUUCUGCCAAGAGCAUCGCUGGGUAGCUAUGUGCGGAAGGGAUAAGUGCUGAAAGCAUCUAAGCAUGAAGCCCCCCUCAAGAUGAGAUUUCCCAUAGCGCAAGCUAGUAAGAUCCCUGAAAGAUGAUCAGGUUGAUAGGUCAGAGGUGGAAGCGUGGUGACAUGUGGAGCUGACUGAUACUAAUCGAUCGAGGACUUAACCAA
rnacentral:rRNA from 1 species